CUUCAUCAUCUAAUCCACAAAAUAUCUACCUCCCAAACCAGGUCCCCCUUCACCCAUUUUAAUCCCCCAUCCAUUCCAGAAGAUGACCGGCGCCAAGCUUUACGCGACUAAAAGCCUCGCCAAAACGGCGACCAAAUCGUAACCGCCGCGACAAAGUCUCGUUAGACGCGACAAAGUCUCGUUAGCCGCAUCAUCUCGGUGCCGCCGGCGGGCAAUGGAGGAGGACGAGGGGGCGUCGCCGUUCUCUUUCGUCGGCGCCGCCGUCGAUGGUGAUGGGUGGGAGCCGGUGGGUCCCCCCUUGCCGCCGCCUGCGGCGGAGGAGAACGGCAGGGGUUGGGAAGUGGUCGCCGUCGGUGCCGCCGCCAACGACGACUGCUCCAUCUUCCCCCCCAGCCUCCACGAAGGCCUCCACCUCCGACCCGAUCUCGACCUCAAUCCAACCCUAAUACCUCCCCACCACCACGGCGAACCGGUCGGAGGUCUCGGCGAGUCCUCAUCUCGGCAGCCGAGGCACGAAGAGGAGGGGAGGGGGAGGAGACGACGGCGAUGCGACGGCGGAUGUCGGAUUCGGCCAGGCGUUUGCUCGGUUCGGGGUUGGAGGUGAUCCAUUCGAAGAUUUGUCUCUGGAGAGGAGGGGGAUUGGAUUGUGUGAUUGGAGGGGGUGUUUGGUCGGUCGCCGCGCUGGCUGGGUUUGUGGGGGCUUUGCUGUACCUCAGGCGAAGGUAUCGGAGAGAGAACGAGCUCCUUCUGCUCCUUGUUCAAGAGAAGGACCAGAGGAUAAACCAACUGCUGCAUCAAAUUGCACUAAUGAACGAAAUUCUAGCCCAACGUCACCGGGUUACCAUACUGCGGAGGCUCUGACCUCAUCUGUUUGCAAUCUUGACAGCAGCUUAGGGCAACCGUAAUGCAUUUUAAUGAUCUGAUGCUGCACUAUUCAGUCUCAAUGAGAAUAUUUGUAAUUUACAUUCAUGACACUUCUAUGCUUAUAUAUGUUCUUAAGAGAGGGCAUAUUUAUGUUAUCACAAAAAAAAUCUAGAUGCUUCUUUUUUUAUGUAAAGCAUUUGAAAAUAAUUAUAAGAAUUAAAAGCUCUGCCGAUAUUUUUGAGGACUACUUCCAGAGCUCAAAA